GGACGAACAUCAGAGCCCGCAGCUCUCGGCCCUGCUGGUGGCAGAGGCUUUGUACUGUGUGACAAUGACCUGGAUAUGGAAGCAGAAGGGAGCUUCUAAGGACCGGAAGCUGAGAGUCUGUCUCCUGUCCCGGCCCGGACACUGGGGUUCAGGAACCAGAGCCUCAGUGUCUGCAGGAGUUGCUGGCUGUUUCCUGAUGCAGUUGGAGCAGAAUGGGAUGUCCUGGGACAACAGAGAUGUUUACCCAUCUUGACUAGUGUGGUCAUCUGAAGAAUGGCCUCCAAAGACAUCCUGAGAACCUGGGAAUGUUGCAUGGAUGAAGGAAUUUGCAAAAGUGAUUAAGUUAAGGAGCUUGAAAUUUGUGGAUCAUGCUGGGUUACCCCAGUGAGCUCUAAAUGUAAUCACAUGUGUCUUUAUGAAAGGGAGGCAGAGGGAGAUUUGCAGACAGAUGAGGAGGAAGAUGAGAAAACAAUGGACACAAGAAAGAAAAGGUGAUGCAGUUCAGGGACCCAAGCCAAUAAAUGAGGUGACCUCCAGAUGCUGGAGAAGGGAAGGAAGCAGAUGGACUCUAGAGCCCCCAAAAGAAGCAGGGCUCUGCCAUCACCUUGAUUUUGUCCCAAUGAAACCCAUUGGUCAUUUAGCUGCCAGAACUGUGUAAGCAUAAAUGUGUGUUCGUUUAAGCCAUGAAAUUUGCAGUAAUUUGUUAAAGCUGCCAUGGGAAACUAACACAACUGGAGUGGUAGUUCCGUGAAUGCAUGCAUUCACCAAACCUUAACAUGUACUCUUCGGAUACUGGCAUGAUAGGUCCAUGAAUGCAUAUGUUCACCCACACACUAAUAUAUACC
rnacentral:lncRNA from 10 species